rnacentral:lncRNA from 1 species
GGUCUUUGAACGACUGCAGAUACCCAAGGCAGUCAGAGGAGAGUGUCGGAUACCCUGUAUUGCAGAUACCCAAGGCAGUCAGAGGAGAGUGUCGGAUACCCUGUAUUGCAGGUGCUUGUGAACCGAGUCGCUUGGGUGCUGGGAAAUGAACUCACGGGUGUCCUCAGAAGGACAUGCUUUUAAUUGCUGAGCCAUCGCUCCAGUCUGGGUCCAUCACCACUUCUAACCAAAGUUCAGUUCCUAACACCACCUUGCUACAGAUUUCUGCUCGGGGAGCUUUCUCAAAGGCUGAGGUUAGCUUCUACAGAAUUCAGUGCUAAGGGCACAAGUCACGAGGAGCCAGCUGGCAGCUCUCGGGGGUUGGCUGCUGGGAUGGGAACGCUGCCAGAGGACACAAACCCCUGUGCCCUCUGAGUGCACCAGAGCUCGUUCUGCCCAGGGAACCUGGACCUUCGGCCUGUAGAAAGGGUGCAGUUUGCACAGCCUCUCCAACCUUUGAUAGAUUUGCUACCACUCUGCUAAGGCCCUCUCCUGGUUCACCCUGAAGACUCAUCUCAUUAGCCUCUGCCAAAAGGAGAUGGCCAGCCUAGAACCCAGGUCAGACCCUACUCCUGGAUGCCUCUGUAUCAAGAUAUAGAACCCUUGGCUCUUCCACUACCAUGUCUGCCUGCAUGAUGCCAUGCUUCCUGCCAAGAUGACAAUGGACUGAACCUCUGAAACUAUAAGCCAGACCCAAUUAUGGCUGUCUCUGCUGUCCCCAUGCUGUGCGGGAGCGUCCAGUCUGAUGCAAUCCAUCUGUCCAUCUUUGAUCGUGUUGCCUAAGCUUUGAAGGGCUGACUCGGAAACACUGUCCAGGCUCAUCAGUGCUUCCCCCUGUUGCCCACUAGUGUUUUCCCUAUCUCAAGUCUUAACAUUAAACCCUUCCAUGUAUUCUGAAAUUUCA